CGAACAGGUUGAGAGGACAGCGAGGCUCAUACCUCACGGGAGAGAGAUCUGUACAAGGGACUCGGUUGCAGCUCCGAGAGUCGAACCCAAUUAAUUGCUUCCCCUCGCAAGCAAGAAAUGCUGCAAGCUAAGCUGACCGAUUGUCAUGCAUGUCCCUUUGAGAGAGACGGAGAUGGGAUACUCUUUCUUGCGGGUCGACGCCUUCUCCGGCUGCAGGGACGGCUGGAUCAACGAGAACGGGGCUUGACCUUCGUCUUACCUCGUGAAAGCGGCGGUUGCCGACGAUGACGGCGGGCUCGCCCUCAAGAAGCCCGUCAACCCCACCACAUCUCAGGAGAUGAGACCCAGGUCGAUAAAACAAGUGAUCUUUCAAUCUGAGGUACAAUUGGAGUUGGUCAGGCAGGAGAUCCGGAUUUGCUUCCUCGCUGGAUCAUGUCAUCUUCCAUUUAAGAGGGAUUGAGGAGUCAUGGAGCAUACUUGUCAUUCCCCGUUCACCUGGAUGGGACCUUACUUGAUGUUGCCCAAGUUAUACAAUUAAAGCAGGAACUUUUCUCUUGGUCUCUUGAAGUUCCAGCAGAAUGUUCAUGUUUCUCCUGGUUAUCUUUUCCAUGGUUUGAUACACAACAAAAUGAUGAUGACUCUCAGUUUUUCUCUGGUGGAGAUAAUACAAACUUAGGCCUGCUUCCUUCUUCCCACUAGCAUGCGUUUCCUCAAAUCACAAAUUAACUUGGUGAAGGUACUACACGUUGAGACAAGGUUGGAGAUGAGCCUUAAAGUAAGGUGUACAAUACAUCCAGGAAAUGCUCUGCAAUUUUUGGAGGACAAGUUUGCAUCUCUUGGAAAAGAAAAAGACAGAUCACACUACAAUUACAAAUCAUUCGAGGUUCCUUAAUUCUCAAAGAGGUAAAAUCUAAUCAUUUGUACUCACUCAUGCUGUCUGUCUUCAUGAUCAACUAUAAGGAUAAGCCCAACUUUUCAGCAGAAGCUACUUGUUGUAGGAUCUGGAUCUGUUUUGUUACAAAUCAGUUCAAAUAUUGCUGUUUUGUUCUCAUUCACCAAAUAGAUGUUGGAAAAAUCAACUCAUUGUCAGAUCAUCCGAGAUGUUUAAGUUAAUAAUAAUAAUAAUAAUAAUAAUAUACUUGUCUAGUCCCUGUAUAUCAUUUUCCACUUAUUGUAUGAUAUUAUUUGGGGAGUCAUUUUCA